ACAGACAGAUUACCAUCAUUUUCUUUCCUUCUUAGCGAAUCACGGCUUUAUUGUAACACAUCGCUGCAUACUACCUCACCGAUAUUUCUAUCGCCGAUCACCUUUAUCAGGCGCAAUAUUUAAUUAUUCUGACACAUUUCGAAUAUUAUUUCGAAUCGAGAGAAUAAACCGGCUCGUCCACCUGAUACAAUCACCACUUGAUUUCUUUCUGUGGGCAACAUCGAAUAAAUGCUGCGUAACAGAGACAGAGUCAAGAAAGACGCAGGAUAUCAGACCCGUCACAACAUGUGCCACAAUCAAUCCGGAAGCGAUAACAAGUGCAAGGAUUAUGCAAUCCGACGAUUCCAAUGUUGCAUCGAUCAAAUGCAGAAUCAGAACCAGUUAGACUCGCCAUAAUUUCGUCUAGUCAUCUUUUCAUUACCCUGCUUCGUACAGUACGUAGGCUCCGCUUAUCGUCUAGGGUUGCGUGACUGAAGAAGAGUAUCAUGGGGUAAGAGGAACGCUUCUUGACUCGAUACACGAGAAAAGAAGCGCCGUGGUUGGUCAAGAGGUUGGGGAAGAACAAAAGGCUCAACGACCAGGUAAAAAUCCCGGUUACAUCGGCAAAUACCAGAUGUUUCGUAUUUUCGAGAAUAUUCAAAAUAUGGCAGGAGCCUCGUAAG